UCUAAUAUGGCAGAAUAGUGCAUUGGACUUAAGCCCCAAAUAUAAAGCUCAAAGCUUUUUUUAGAA
rnacentral:tRNA from 1 species